CACAUAGUGAGGUCAAAGCCAGCCUGG
rnacentral:piRNA from 1 species